rnacentral:misc_RNA from 1 species
CCAAUGGCGAUGAGGCAUGCUUUGUCUUGUUGACAUGGCAUCCCCUGGUCUCCCUCCACGGUGACGACAGUGGCAGUGGCGGUGUCCGCCGUCCCCUGUCAUUAGCGUCAUCCACAUCAUAUCCAUCACAAGCACCCGCAGCAAAGCACAGUACAGCGCAGAGCAGAGCGGCAUUCGCAGCUGCAGCACCUGCCAUCCCUUCCCUUCUCCUCAAGCAUCACCAGCUAAGCUUCGUCCCCCCAUCUCGACGUUGCCUCCGUCCAUCCUCUCCUGUCCCUCCUCCGGUCCGACCCUGGUCGAUCGAGGUCGGGGCGCGCGCGCCAUGGGCGGCGUCCAAGAGAAGGAGGCCGGCAUGCCGCCCGCCAUGGCGGUGCCGCCGGUGCUCGUCAAGGGCAAGCGCAGCAAGAGGCAGCGCGUGCACGCGCCGCCGGUCGUGGCCGUGGCCGUGGCGGCGGCGGCGGAGUGGUCGUCGUCGUCCGCGGCGUCGCCAGCCGGCGGCGACGACUCGGGGUCAGGGACCGCCACGUCGCCGUCCGCCGCGGACGACGCCGAGGCCGAGGCCGCGUCCGCCGGGUGCUGCCUGCUCACCGAGGAGGACGAGGACAUGGCGCUCUGCCUCAUGCUCCUCGCGCACGGCGAGCCGGCCAGGGACGACGGUGGUGGCGGCAACGGCAAGACAGCGGCCAAGGAGGCCAGCAGCAGGUUCAGGAGCCGGCGCCCGGCUGCGGCCGGCGACGGCGAGUACGUGUACGAGUGCAAGACGUGCAACAAGUGCUUCCCGUCGUUCCAGGCGCUCGGCGGCCACCGCACCAGCCACAAGAAGCCACGCCUGCUGCUGCUCCCGCCGGUGCCAUCCCAGCCGACCCAGGAAAAGGACCUGGGGCUGGUGCCGACUCCUAACCCUGCAGCCGCGGAGACAGCUGAGGCGUCGCCGCCACCGGCGGCUCCGGCAGAAGCGGCCGCCGAUGCCACCGCGCUCGCGAUCCCAGUUGCCGCGGCGCCAAAGCAAGAAGGACAGGCCGCCGCCGCCGUGGCCACGAGCAGCACGAGCAACAGCAGCAGCGGCGGCGCCAAGCAGCCUCAUCAUCGGCCGCGCGUCCACGAGUGCUCCAUCUGCGGCGCCGAGUUCGGGUCCGGGCAGGCGCUGGGCGGCCACAUGCGGCGGCACCGGCCGCUGGUGCCGGCGGGCGCGCGGGAGCGGGACGACGCGCACGCGCCCAGCAGGAAGGAGAAGAGCCUCCUGGAGCUGGACCUCAACAUGCCCGCGCCCUGCGACGAGGCCGAGGCCGAUGCCCCGGCGGUCACGUCCCCACGCUUCGCUUUCGCCGUCGCGGAGCGUCCUCCGGCGCCGCUGCUCUUCCCGCCGGCCACGCCGUCCGCCCUGGUUGACUGCCAUUACUAGUUAAACACAGGAGAGUACACGACACACCGAUUACCUCCCUCCUCUGCGGGCUUCAACAUCAUACAUAACGUCUACUGCACACACAAACACACAAACACACACACUACACGCCACUUGGAUUCGAUCUUCUCGC